CAGCCAGUGUUCAAGGUAUGUCACAAGAUGUUUGGACCAACAGUUAUGGCCUAACUUCUUACAUAAGCUGGUCUGACGAGAUGUGUUGCACAGAGACUGGAAAAUUCCAAUCCCAGUUGCAAGAACUCAAAAGCUGAUGUCUUGUUUCCUGACUGGAUGGUUAGAGAGGAUGACUCAUUUUGGUUGGACGCUUUCAAUCUUUGGAAGAAGCAUGGGUCACCAUCUGAUUGGUUCAUGCCAGCAUUUCCAAGAACAACUAAGUUGGACCACCCAGUAGAAAUAGUAUAAAAUGGUCUUUCCCCUUCAGCACAUCGCUUCCUUAAAACUGAAGACACCUGGAAGGGAGAAAACUGGAGUCGAGGGCUGGCCACCUGGGACUUCUUCUGGUGACAUCAAGUAAGCAAUCAAAAUUAAAAGAACCCUAAGAACGGUGGUACAGGAGUGUGACGGGGGUGUUCACUCCACGCCAGCCCGGAAGGGGCUAAGGAAGUGAGAAGGCCCAACUAGUGAGAUAUGCCAUGCAUGAAGGGUUUAGGCUGGAGAAGCAACUCCUGAUUAGAAGAUGAAGCUCAGCUGAGCAAGUGUGGGCUAGGCUGUAUGAAGCCAGAAGCUGGCAACAGAAAUGGCAGCAAUGAGGAAGUCUCUAGCCAGCCUCUGUCAUUUUAAAUGUACAGCAAUAUGAAAACAAAGUUUCUGACUGAAAGCCUAUGUCACCCUUACCAAAAGAGGCAUUUUAUGGAACCCUGGAGAACCCUACAAUGUUACUUGCUUUUUCUGCCUGUGCUACAUUUGUUCCAUUUAAAAUGGAUGCCAUUUCACAAUAUCAGGACAGAAACCUAAUUUCACAGAUAUAGUGGAACCCACUUGUCAGCAAUCUGGUUUUGUUUUUCAAAGAACAAAUUUGUUGUACGUAUGACUUCUAACUAUACUAGAAUUGGUUUGGUGUGUAAGUAGAAAUUUGGGACUUUGAUUCUUUUACUGUACAUAAAAUGUAACUACAUUUGUACUCUCUGAAAGCAAUUUACACUGUCCAUGUUUGGAUAUAUGCCAUGUGAUUGAUACAGGUAAUUUCCUAAGUGGCUCUUGCAAAUUCUGUCCCAUAUUCUCAUUCUUUGAUCACAGAACCCCUCAAACUGACCAGGACAACUCAGAAUCCAACAGUUGUUAACAGCCAUUUUGUGAACCUCUACUCACAGUUAAUAGUCCUUUAUACCAUAAAUAAUCCCACUGAAAUCAAAUGGAAUACUUGUGGAAUAAGAUAUUACUUAAUGUAAGGGGAUAACAGGGUGACUGAUGGUAAAGUAUCAACCACGCACUGAUUUAGGCUAAAUCACCAAAAAUUCAAAAAACAAAGAAACAGGGUAUUGCAAUGAUUGAAGAAAACAUUAAGAAAGAGCAUGCCACAUACAAUAUUGCUAUCACACCUGGCCCCGGAGAAACGUAGUGAAUAGAAGGUUGCCUAUAAACAGUGGGGCCAUGGUACAAGUCUUCUAAAGACUGUUAGAAAAAGGUAUGUUUUGAGUAAGUAGGGGCUUAGUCAAGGAAUUUAUUGCUCUUUCAAGAACAGCUGCAGCUUGUUUUUUCUAAUUAGAAUGGCUCUCUCCAAACAACCUUCUUUUUG